GAUAAGAAAAAAAAAGGCCCCUGGACCUGCCUUGGAAAAUUCCAAAGACCCAAACCAAGAUGCCUGUAUGCCAGAUUCUCUGGCAUGACCUAUACUAGGCUUUCUUCACUUGGAACUCAUUGAAGGUUCAUGAUGGACUGCAUCUCAUACAUCCUAUUAUACCAGAGUGAAUUAUGGGAAAGGACAUGCGCAGUAGACAGAGCUGACAGGACUCAGCACUCUGUCAAUCAUGUUGUUAAUCAUGGUCUGGAAGACCCAAUGAUAAUGGAGAAACACUGUGGCUGCCAUCCCGGAGCAUGUACCCAUGGAGAUGGAUCCCCAGACAACAGCACAGUGUGGUACCCCUGGUGAGAACCAUGCAGAGGCUGAGUCUAAGUGACUCCCCUCAAAGCCCAAGGCCCUCAGAUGCACAUAUCAGCAGAGAUUUGCUCUGAGGCACCACCCAUGUCCACCAUCAAGAUGAGGAGCCAGCUGGCUUCAUGGGUUCCAGACCAAAGCAAUCAUCCUGCUCUUGUGAUAAGAUGGAUCGAUCUGGAGAAGAGUAUUAUUGAUUUCCAGUAAAGUGGUUUUGGGUCUACAGCCCUGACCCAUUCUGUUCAGGCUGCUCAUUUUAUAGAUAAUUGGACAAAAACUGCUGGUAAUAACUAGAGAAUCCAGCAAAACACUGACCUU
rnacentral:lncRNA from 1 species